GACGAACGCUGGCGGCGUGCUUAACACAUGCAAGUCGAACGGAAAGGCCCUGCUUUUGUGGGGUGCUCGAGUGGCGAACGGGUGAGUAACACGUGAGUAACCUGCCCUUGACUUUGGGAUAACUUCAGGAAACUGGGGCUAAUACCGGAUAGGAGCUCCUGCUGCAUGGUGGGGGUUGGAAAGUUUCGGCGGUUGGGGAUGGACUCGCGGCUUAUCAGCUUGUUGGUGGGGUAGUGGCUUACCAAGGCUUUGACGGGUAGCCGGCCUGAGAGGGUGACCGGCCACAUUGGGACUGAGAUACGGCGCAGACUCCUACGGGAGGCAGCAGUGGGGAAUAUUGCACAAUGGGCGGAAGCCUGAUGCAGCAACGCCGCGUGCGGGAUGACGGCCUUCGGGUUGUAAACCGCUUUCGCCUGUGACGAAGCGUGAGUGACGGUAAUGGGUAAAGAAGCACCGGCUAACUAUGUG
rnacentral:rRNA from 1 species